GACGAACGCUGGCGGCGUGCUUAACACAUGCAAGUCGAACGGAAAGGCCCUGCUUUUGUGGGGUGCUCGAGUGGCGAACGGGUGAGUAACACGUGAGUAACCUGCCCUUGACUUUGGGAUAACUUCAGGAAACUGGGGCUAAUACCGGAUAGGAGCUCCUGCUGCAUGGUGGGGGUUGGAAAGUUUCGGCGGUUGGGGAUGGACUCGCGGCUUAUCAGCUUGUUGGUGGGGUAGUGGCUUACCAAGGCUUUGACGGGUAGCCGGCCUGAGAGGGUGACCGGCCACAUUGGGACUGAGAUACGGCCCAGACUCCUACGGGAGGCAGCAGUGGGGAAUAUUGCACAAUGGGCGGAAGCCUGAUGCAGCAACGCCGCGUGCGGGAUGACGGCCUUCGGGUGGUAAACCGCUUUCGCCUGUGACAAAGCGUGAGUGACGGUAAUGGGUAAAGAAGCACCGGCUAACUACGUG
rnacentral:rRNA from 1 species